AUACGUAGGUCCCGAGCGUUGUCCGGAUUUAUUGGGCGUAAAGCGAGCGCAGGUGGUUUAAUAAGUCUGAUGUAAAAGGCAGUGGCUCAACCAUUGUGUGCAUUGGAAACUGUUAGACUUGAGUGCAGUAGAGGAGAGUGGAAUUCCAUGUGUAGCGGUGAAAUGCGUAGAUAUAUGGAGGAACACCGGUGGCGAAAGCGGCUCUCUGGUCUGCAUCUGACACUGAGGAGCGAAAGCCAGGGGAGC
rnacentral:rRNA from 1 species